rnacentral:tRNA from 1 species
AUUCUUAUAGUUUAAUUAUAAAAUAUAAUAUUGAAAAUAUUGUGAUAUAUUUAAGGAUA